GUUCCGGGGGGAGUAUGGUCGCAAGGCCGAAACUUAAAGGAAUUGACGGAAGGGCACCACCAGGAGUGGAAUCUGCGGCUUAAUUUGACUCAACGCGGGAAAACUCACCAGGUCAGGACACGGUAAGGAUUGACGGACUGAAGGCUCUUUCUCGAUUCCGUGGAAAGUGGUGCAUGGCCGUUUUUGGUUGGUGGAUCGAUCCGUCUGGUUAAUUCCGUUAACGAACGAGACCUCGGCACUCCGAAUAGCGCGGCGGACGUCGCGGCCUCCGGGCCGUCUUCCGCACGAGCUUCUUAGAGGGACCGUCCCCCGCCGGGGAAGGAGGUGCGAGGCAACGACAGGUCUGUGAUGCCCUUAGAUGUUCUGGGCCGCACGCGCAUUACACUGACGCGUCCAACGGGUGACUCCCGACCCGAAGGGGCCGGGGAAUCCGCAAGGCGCGUCGUGAUGGGGAUUGAACGUUGCAAUUGUUGUUCACGAACGAGGAAUUCCUAGUAGGCGCGGGUCAUCAACCCGCGCCGAUUACGUCCCUG
rnacentral:rRNA from 1 species